GCCAGUGUGGUGUAGUGAUUUGAGUAUUGGACUAUGACUCUGGAGUCCUAGGUUCGAAUACUGGCUCAGACA